UGAGGAAUAUUGGUCAAUGGGCGAGAGCCUGAACCAGCCAAGUAGCGUGCAGGAAGACGGCCCUAUGGGUUGUAAACUGCUUUUAUAGGGGGAUAAAGUGUGCCACGUGUGGCAUAUUGCAGGUACCCUAUGAAUAAGGACCGGCUAAUUCCGUGCCAGCAGCCGCGGUAAUACGGAAGGUCCGGGCGUUAUCCGGAUUUAUUGGGUUUAAAGGGAGCGUAGGCCGUCUUAUAAGCGUGACGUGAAAUGCAGCGGCUCAACCGUAUGAUGUGCGUCGCGAACUGUGAGACUUGAGUGUAUUCGAUGUCAGCGGAAUUUGUGGUGUAGCGGUGAAAUGCUUAG
rnacentral:rRNA from 1 species